GGCAACAUAAAUAAACAAAAAAUAUACAUCAAACAAUUAUGUUAACAAAAGCGUGAAAACAAGAUGAAGAAGAAUCACAGGCAACAGACCUAAUUUGUUCAAAGAUAACAGAAAGCAGACUAUGGUGGGCCACAAGCAGACUAAGGUGGGCCACAACAUGAUGAAAAUCUUAACCACUUGUAGCAACAUUUGAAGCUCAAAUGACACGAGGAUGUCAAGAGUAGAGAUGACUAUUUGAGUCAGAUACCCAAGAAAGCUUGAUGAGAGAAAAAAUUGCAUAAAGCUUCCCACAAGGAAAAAUAAACACAAAACGUUACAUUUGUCUUACACAGAUGUGCUAUAUGUUCUCUCCUCUCACUGGAGACGGGUGGGUAUUGAGAUGAUUGUUUAAAAUGUUACAAUCUAAAGUCAAUUAUUUUACUAUUUUGCAGGCGUAAUAUGAUAGAUGAUGAAAAUAAAGAACCAUAAAAAGAAAAGACACGAAUUUGGAAUCAAUGAAAGUGAAAUUUAGCAACAAAAGGAAAUUCAAUUAAUCACCAGCAACAAAACUAGGAUUUCACACCAACCCAACCAAUUGCUUUUAGGCUGACGGUUUUCCUUCAGUAUUCGUACCAUACUCUUCAUCACCCUCAUUUCCAUUAACGAGUACUGCUCCAUCAGUAGAGUCAGCAUCCACCACAACAGCUUCUUCUUGGCCCUCUUGUUGAAGGUCAUCUUCACCCCGUUCUUCUUGGCCCUCUUGUUGAAGGUCAUCUUCACCCCGUUCUAGCACCUCAUCACCAUUCAGUUCUGC
rnacentral:lncRNA from 1 species